GAUGAACGCUGGCGGCGUGCCUAACACAUGCAAGUCGAACGUGAGAAGGUAGCAAUAUCUUUGAAAGUGGCGCACGGGUGAGUAAUACGUAGGUGACCUGCCCUGGAGUGGGGGAUAACAACUGGAAACGGUUGCUAAUACCGCAUAAAACGAGGAUGCUGGGAAGCAUUCUGGUAAAAACUCUGGUGCUUCAGGAGGGGCCUGCGGCCGAUUAGCUAGUUGGCGGGGGUAAGAGCCCACCAAGGCAGUGAUCGGUAGCUGGUCUGAGAGGACGAUCAGCCACACGGGAACUGUGACACGGUCCCGACUCCUACGGGGGGCAGCAGUGAGGAAUAUUGGGCAAUGGGCGGAAGCCUGACCCAGCAACGCCGCGUGGAGGAAGACGGCCUUCGGGUUGUAACUCCUUUACGGGGUAAGAGGAAGGACGGUACCCGAGAAUAAGUCACGGCUAACUACGUGCCAGCAGCCG
rnacentral:rRNA from 1 species